rnacentral:rRNA from 1 species
AAGGUAGCAUAAUCACUUGUCUUUUAAUUGGAGGCUGGAAUGAAGGAGGCGACGAAAUUUAGGCUUUUAGUUUAUAAUGUGAAAUUAACAUAAAGAUCAAAAGGUCUUUAUUAAUCAAAGGGACGAUAAGACCCUAUAAAACUUUACUAUAAGGUAAAUUAGAUAGCAAAAUUCAAAGGCUUAUAGUUUGGCUGGGGCGGUUUAUAUAAAAACAAUUGAAAUAUAAAUAUAUUUAAUAAAUUUUGAGAACUCCUGUAGGAAAUGAUUAAGUUACUUUAGGGAUAACAGCAUAAUUUUCCCAGAGAGUCCUUAUUGGCGGGAAAGCUUAUGACCUCGAUGUUGAAUUGGGGUGUCUAGUAUAAGCAAAAAUAUACUAAGAUAGUCUGUUCGACUAUUAAACCCCC